GGAAGGAAGGAAGUGCUGUGAGUGAA
rnacentral:piRNA from 1 species